rnacentral:misc_RNA from 1 species
UUGACUUAUUUGUAUAAAGACUCAGAGAGACCGUUAAUAAACAAGAGUUAGAUGUCCUCCGGCGGGCGCCCCGCAAGCGGAGCAGAGGCCUAAGCCAACCGCCGAAGCAACGAUACGGGGUACGUUCACAAUGGUUUGUGGGAGUUUUGCAACUCAUUAAUGAUCCCUCCGCUGGUUCACCAACGGAGA